rnacentral:rRNA from 1 species
AGUGAACGCUGGCGGUAGGCCUAACACAUGCAAGUCGAACGGCAGCACAGUAAGAGCUUGCUCUUACGGGUGGCGAGUGGCGGACGGGUGAGGAAUACAUCGGAAUCUACUUUUUCGUGGGGGAUAACGUAGGGAAACUUACGCUAAUACCGCAUACGACCUACGGGUGAAAGCAGGGGAUCUUCGGACCUUGCGCGAUUGAAUGAGCCGAUGUCGGAUUAGCUAGUUGGCGGGGUAAAGGCCCACCAGGGCGACGAUCCGUAGCUGGUCUGAGAGGAUGAUCAGCCACACUGGAACUGAGACACGGUCCAGACUCCUACGGGAGGCAGCAGUGGGGAAUAUUGGACAAUGGGCGCAAGCCUGAUCCAGCCAUACCGCGUGGGUGAAGAAGGCCUUCGGGUUGUAAAGCCCUUUUGUUGGGAAAGAAAAGAAGCAGGUUAAUACCCCGCUGCUCUGACGGUACCCAAAGAAUAAGCACCGGCUAACUUCGUG